rnacentral:rRNA from 1 species
ACAAGGMYUCCCCUAGUAACUGCGAGUGAAGCGGGAAAAGCUCAAAUUUAAAAUCUGGCGGUCAUUUCUGGCUGUCCGAGUUGUAAUCUAGAGAAGUGUUACCCGCGCUGGACCGUGUACAAGUCUCCUGGAAUGGAGCGUCAUAGAGGGUGAGAAUCCCGUCUUUGACACGGACUGCCAGGGCUUUUGUGGUGCGCUCUCAAAGAGUCGAGUUGUUUGGGAAUGCAGCUCAAAAUGGGUGGUAAAUUCCAUCUAAAGCUAAAUAUUGGCGAGAGACCGAUAGCGAACAAGUACCGUGAGGGAAAGAUGAAAAGAACUUUGGAAAGAGAGUUAAACAGUACGUGAAAUUGCUGAAAGGGAAACGCUUGAAGUCCAGUCGCGUUGGCCGGGGAUCAACCUUGCUUUUGCUGGGUGUACUUUUCCGGUCGACGGGUCAGCAUCAGUUUUGACCGUCGGAUAAAGUCUGGAGGAAUGUGGCAUCUUUGGAUGUGUUAUAGCCUCUGGUCGCAUACGACGGUUGGGACUGAGGAACUCAGCACGCCGAAAGGCCGGGUACUCGUACCACGUUCGUGCUCAGGAUGCUGGSAUAAUGGSUUCAAUCGACCCGUCUUGA